rnacentral:rRNA from 1 species
UACGUAGGUGGCAAGCGUUGUCCGGAUUUAUUGGGUUUAAAGGGUGCGUAGGCGGCCUUAUAAGUCAGUGCUGAAAUAUCCCGGCUUAACCGGGAGGGUGGCAUUGAUACUGUAGGGCUUGAGUGUAGUCGAGGUAGGCGGAAUUGACGGUGUAGCGGUGAAAUGCUUAGAUAUCCGGAGGAACACCAGUGGCGAAAGCGGCCACCUGGACUGCACCUGACGCUGACACGCGAAAGCUAGGGGAGCGAACGGG